AGCACUGCAGGUGAGCCGAGACCUUGUACGGCUGAUCUAGAGUCAGACAUGCGAGACACAUACAGACAGCCAAUUAUAUUAAUUGAAAGAGCCUAAUUAAUUAAUCAUAGACUUUGUUGUGGGCAGGACAGUGAAACAAUAGGAUGCGUGCUGCCAGGGGAGAGGUAACCAGAGGCCAGCUCUAAAAAGAGAGAAAGUCACACAGGUUUGAGAUGACAAGAGGGCGUGUAAAUGAUGACAGAAUUUUCAUUUUGAAGAUACUCACACCUGCGCAGGGGUUGCGGGGGGACGCGUCGACGGAGCCACUAUCCGAUAACGCAGCACAGAGAGGGCAGCCAGGCUAAAGAUGUCCACUCCGGC